UACGUAGGGUGCAAGCGUUAAUCGGAAUUACUGGGCGUAAAGCGUGCGCAGGCGGUUUUGUAAGUCAGAUGUGAAAUCCCCGGGCUUAACCUGGGAACUGCGUUUGAAACUACAAGGCUAGAGUGUGGCAGAGGGGGGUGGAAUUCCAGGUGUAGCGGUGAAAUGCGUAGAUAUCUGGAGGAACACCGGUGGCGAAGGCGACAUCCUGGACCGGUAUUGACGCUGAGGCGCGAAAGCCAGGGGAGCAAACGGG
rnacentral:rRNA from 1 species